rnacentral:rRNA from 1 species
GACGAACGCUGGCGGCGUGCUUAACACAUGCAAGUCGAGCGGAAAGGCCACUUCGGUGGUACUCGAGCGGCGAACGGGUGAGUAACACGUGAGUAAUCUGCCCCUGGCUUUGGGAUAGCCACCGGAAACGGUAAUUAAUACCGGAUACGACCACUUCUCGCAUGGGAUGGUGGUGGAAAGUUUUUUCGGCCAGGGAUGUGCUCGCGGCCUAUCAGCUUGAUGGUGAGGUAAUGGCUCACCAUGGCUUCGACGGGUAGCCGGCCUGAGAGGGUGACCGGUCACACUGGGACCGAGACACGGCCCAGACUCCUACGGGAGGCAGCAGUGGGGAAUAUUGGACAAUGGGCGGAAGCCUGAUCCAGCAACGCCGCGUGAGGGAUGACGGCCUUCGGGUUGUAAACCUCUUUCAGCAGGGACGAAGCGCACGUGACGGUACCUGCAGAAGAAGCACCGGCCAACUACGUGCCAGCCGCCGCGGUAA